CCUACGGGGGGCUGCAGUAGGGAAUAUUGCACAAUGGGCGCAAGCCUGAUGCAGCCAUGCCGCGUGUGUGAAGAAGGCCUUCGGGUUGUAAAGCACUUUCAGCGGGGAGGAAGGCGUUAAGGUUAAUAACCUUGGCGAUUGACGUUACCCGCAGAAGAAGCACCGGCUAACUCCGUGCCAGCAGCCGCGGUAAUACGGAGGGUGCAAGCGUUAAUCGGAAUUACUGGGCGUAAAGCGCACGCAGGCGGUCUGUCAAGUCGGAUGUGAAAUCCCCGGGCUCAACCUGGGAACUGCAUUCGAAACUGGCAGGCUAGAGUCUUGUAGAGGGGGGUAGAAUUCCAGGUGUAGCGGUGAAAUGCGUAGAGAUCUGGAGGAAUACCGGUGGCGAAGGCGGCCCCCUGGACAAAGACUGACGCUCAGGUGCGAAAGCGUGGGGAGCAAACAGGAUUAGAUACCCUUGUAGUC
rnacentral:rRNA from 1 species